GAUGAACGCUAGCGGCAGGCUUAACACAUGCAAGUCGAGGGGCAGCAUGACACGGAGAUUCGUCGAAGUGUUGAUGGCGACCGGCGCAAGGGUGCGUAACGCGUGAGCAACUUGCCCGUUUCUGGGGAAUAACCGGUGGAAACGCCGACUAAUACCCCAUGGUAUUGAUCAGAGGCAUCUUUGGUCAAUUAAAGAAUUUCGGAAACGGAUAGGCUCGCGUGACAUUAGCUAGAUGGCGGGGUAACGGCCCACCAUGGCGACGAUGUCUAGGGGUUCUGAGAGGAAGGUCCCCCACACUGGAACUGAGACACGGUCCAG
rnacentral:rRNA from 1 species